UCUUAUGAAAGCUGCCAUACAAGCCAUGUAUAAACACACUGGGAUGCUCCAGGCAGGAGAAUCUAUCACUCAGCCCUGAAGCAAAUCUCUGUGCUUCUCUUACAAAAACAGCUAUAACUCUCAGAAACUCGACAGUCUUUCCAGUUUAGGACAAGCAUUUGCUCGGAGGAGGAACGUUUGCAGUUGCUGCUCCCCCACCCCGCUCGGCGGCGUGCGGCUGCUGCGGGGUUUGCAGCGCGGCGCCAUGUGACUGGGAGCAGCACGCCAGCAACAAAAACCAGCUCCCGAUCAGCUGCGGGACUGGCUGGAAGCCCCCGGUGUUUCCAUAUUCCAAGUGAGCAAAGCCAGCGUUUGCACGCUGAGAGCGCUCAGCAAUCAGAUACCCUCUGAGAGGGCAGGCUGUCCUGCAGCACGGGGCCGGGAAAAGCCCUGAGCCCAGCAAAAACAGUGGAUGUGACAGAGAACCAAAUCGGGAGCGCUAAUGAAGUGAGCCCAGCAUUACGCUAGCUGGCUCGAUGGUUCCUCUGCUUUAAUUUAUCUGUCUUUGCCAUCCGCUUUCAAAGCAAGCCGAAGGAAGAGGCAGUUCCUUUGUUAGUGUACCAGCGUCGUGUGGGACAUCGGGAGCACGGGACGCAGGCUGGUGAUGGGUGAGCAGCAGCGGGAGAGGGCACCCUUCCCAAAACCCUGCGCUGCUGCCAGCCUCUCCCAGCCCCUUCGAUACCGGGUGUAACACUGUAAGAAUUUGAUUUAGCACAAGGAGCCGCAGUGGUGGUGCUGUGGGGUGCUGCGCAAAGAGUCAAGGAGAUACUACAUCAACGCUAUGCAUUACCACCGAAACAGUGCCCCAGGAAAUUUAAGUAUAAGCAGGCAGAAUGUUGUUCUAAUUGUUAUGUUAGUACCUUCUGCAGCAAAUUAAUGCAUGAAACAUUUUCAUUUCGGUACAUAAGUUUGUGUGUGUCUGAGUUAAACAUUUAUGUUAAUGGACCUUCUGGCAGAUCUGUAAUGUUUCAAAUACUCUUGUAGAACAGCUUUUUCUAAAUACAUCAUUUAGCAGUUCUUUCCCCAUUUUCUACCUGAUCUGGGGGCAUGCAGAAAGGGAAACUAUUUCACAGUUUUAAAAACCUCCUGCUUGAGUAACUACAAAACUAAGCUGCAUUCAGGCAAGGUAGCAAUUAAGCCUGCACUGCCACUAGCAAUGUAAACUGUAUUAAAAAAAAAAAAAAAUUAAAUAAAAGGCACACUAAUAGCCAGCAUAUGCUCUGAUCAUAACACCCUGCAUCAGCAUGCUGCACUCCCCUGCUGCUGCGUGCGCUGCGCCCCAUGCCCACACCCCACAAUCCGUGCCAACCCCAUGCACCCUGGGCUGCGCAGGGCUGGUGGCCACCCUCCCCGUGGCACAGCUCCUGGACACUGCCACUGUGCCGGCCGCCCUAAAAACCCUGCCUUGAU